rnacentral:rRNA from 1 species
CCUUGAUGGCGAGCGCGUUAGCGCGAAGUCGUUAUACCACGCUUCCAAGAAAAGUCUCGUGGGGAGUCUACAGGGUGUCCGUACCGCAAACCGACACAGGUGGGUCGGAGAAAAUCCUAAGGCGAUUGAGAGAACUCUCUCCAAGGAACUCGGCAAAUUACCACCGUAACUUCGGAAGAAGGUGGGCCCUCCGUAGGUGUAGUCGUACAGACGAAGCCGAUGAGGGUUGCAGAGAAAUGGCGGUAGCGACUGUUUACCAAAAACACAGGACUCUGCGAAGACGACAAGUCGACGUAUAGGGUCUGACUCCUGCCCGGUGCUGGAAGGUUAAGGGGAUUCGUCAGCCGCAAGGCGAAGCGAUGAUCCGAAGCCCCAGUAAACGGCGGCCGUAACUAUAACGGUCCUAAGGUAGCGAAAUUCCUUGUCGGGUAAGUUCCGACCUGCACGAAUGGAGUAACGACUUCCGCGCUGUCUCGGAGAGGGACUCAGCGAAAUUGAAAUAGCUGUGCCGAUGCAGUUUACCCGCAGCAAGACGGAAAGACCCCGUGAACCUUUACUACAACUUGACAGUGACACUAGGGAUUGACUGUGUAGGAUAGGUGGGAGCCUUUGAAACCGGGCCGCUAGGUUCGGUGGAGGCAACGGUGAAAUACCACCCUGUUGAUUUCUGGUGUCUAACCGUGUCCCAUAAUCUGGGAUCGGGACACUGUCUGGUGGGUAGUUUGACUGGGGCGGUCGCCUCCCAAAGCGUAACGGAGGCGCGCGAUGGUUCCCUCAGCCCGAUUGGAAACCGGGCGGCGAGUGCAAUGGCAUAAGGGAGCUUAACUGCGAGACAGACAUGUCGAGCAGGUGCGAAAGCAGGUCAUAGUGAUCCGGUGGUUCUGAAUGGAAGGGCCAUCGCUCAACGGAUAAAAGGUACUCCGGAUAACAGGCUUAUCUCCUCCAAGAGUUCACAUCGACGAGGAGGUUUGGCACCUCGAUGUCGGCUCAUCGCAUCCUGGGGCUGGAGCAGGUCCCAAGGGUUUGGCUGUUCGCCAAUUAAAGCGGUACGCGAGCUGGGUUCAAAACGUCGUGAGACAGUUUGGUCCCUAUCUGCUGUGGGCGUAGGAUACUUGAGAGGAUCUGUCCUUAGUACGAGAGGACCGGGAUGGAGACACCUCUGGUGUACCAGUUGUCACGCCAGUGGCAUCGCUGGGUAGCCAUGUGUCGAUUGGAUAACCGCUGAAAGCAUCUAAGCGGGAAACCGACCUCAAGAAUAGGUAUCCCGGGGGAAACCCCCUGAAGACCCGUCGAAGACUACGACGUUGAUAGGCCGGGUGUGUAAGCGUGGCAACACGUUGAGCUAACCGGUACUAAUUGGUCGUGCGGCUUACUUUC